CCUGCAGCAGAGUGCGCAAACUUAACCACUCGGCCACAGGGCCAGUCCCAACUGAAUGAAGAAUUUUGAUGAAAGAUACCAAAGCAGAGAUUUCUUCUGACCUGGCGCAUGUAAACAUAGGAUUUCCUUCCACCUUUCCUAACUACACAGUCUCUGGCUUGUGCCAUUUAGUAGUUUGCAAUAUGAGCCUCGAGAUAAGAAGUUUCAAGAAGACAAGCUGACCUGGCUGCCUCCAUAAGUGAGAGCUGGCCUUAGACCCAUGACUGUUCCAGCAGCCCAAGGGAAGAAGAGCAGGAAAGAACUACUCUGAUUUUCUGAUUCUCCACCUCUCGUUAUGCAUGGCUACCUUGACCAAGAUAGUUCACCAAGAUAAACUACACAACGGAUGAUGCUAUACGAUGCUACAGCAGACAAUGGGAUGCCAAUAUGCGUAUAACACAAAUCCAACUUUAUAUGAGGGAUCCCCAUUUCCACAGAGAAGCUAAACAAACAAAAACCUGAUCGCCUCUUUUUCAUUUUUAACAUACAUUUUAAAGUGCUACCAAAUGUAGUAAAUAUGUCAGAGAAAUGAGUUUUAAAAUAUCUUCUUCCCGAUUUCAAGGAAGACUUUUUUGAAAAUUUCAUAAGGUUCUCUGGCCUGCUAUGCUUUCUAUGUUGACUGAUUUUUCUAUGAUCCCAUAAACCUUCAGUUGACAUGUGAACCAUAGUCUCAAAUUCAUCAACACAGUCACUGGGGAAGCUGGCCAAGUGUCUUUUGUGGCUGGAGUCUCUGUCACACAUCAUCGUGCUGCCUUUUGUUAAAUGGAGAAAUGCGUCUCAUAGAAAAUGCUUCAAUGCCACACAGAAUAGUAGAAAAAACUACAUUUAUAAAUACUCAGGUGUCUCAUGUUUCCUUUAAGAUUGUUUAAAAUCAUUUUUGUUUGUUACUUUAAUAUAUUUUUUAAGUACAAGCUCAAAUACCAUCAUUACCUUUGCAAGUGUCAUAAUUUUUCCUUAAUGACAGCUUAAUCAAGUUUUAAAUUAUCCUCUAAACCUACACUCUUCCUUCUUUCCUCAAAAGGUAGAAACAAAGCUAAUUUUCUGAAAUGUUUGAGCAAGAUAGAAACAUAAAAAAAAUUUCCAGGAGUCUUAUUUUAUAAAAACUAAAAAAAUCCUAACCCUGAGAAUAUAUUUGAUGAAGAAAAAGAUGGUAAAAAAUGGAGUGAGAGCAUUAUUUCAUUG
rnacentral:lncRNA from 1 species